GGAAAGUUCACCAAUCUAAGCAUAACAGUGGAAAAGAAAGACUGAUUAGAACUAAUUCUUUAACUUCUUCGCAGCAGGCGCUUUCUUCACCGUCUUCGGCUUCUUUACCACAACCUUGACAGGCUUCUUCCCAGGAGCAGCUUUGGCAGAGGUCUUAGCCGCCUUCACCGGUCGGCCAACAGCCCUUGGCUUAGGGGCAACAGUCUUUGAUUUUGGGGCAGCAGACUUGGCGUUCACAGAAUCAGCUUUCGACUUCGCCCCCACUUUUUUCAGCUUUACAGCUGUAGAUUUCAGCUUCGCAGCAGUCUUCUUCGGCUUCCCAGUUGCGGACUUUGGCUUUGCAGUAACUGACUUUCGCUCUGGCACGGCAGACUUUGACUUGAAGGCAGUGUUGGGCUUGACAGAGGAUAUUUUAUAGGAGUUCUUGAGCUUCGUUAGUUUGCCAGCAGCAGUGAGUUUCCUCAGCUGGACAAGGAGGAGCUUCUUGAAGUUCGCCGGAAGGUGAGCUUUGUGCUUGUCUUCAACAAACUUU
rnacentral:misc_RNA from 1 species